rnacentral:tRNA from 1 species
GCAGGUACAGCUCAGUGGGAGAGCGCGUGCUUAGCAUGCUUGAGGUCCUGGGUUCAAUCCCCAGUACCUUCA